AGCUGCAGAUGAGGGUGGUUCUCGCCCCUAGUUUGCCAGACGUUCUUCUUUGGUGCGGCUCGAGAUUUUCCUGCUCUCGGCUUGCUGGCCCCACAGAGAAUUUCCGUUUUUUCCACUUCUGUUCCCUGCCAAGAUUGUCAGUUGGUUUUCCUUGUCGCCCGGACCGCUUCCAGAAUGUCUGGAUCUCCAAACUGUGCGGUAUGGCAUAGACGGUUCUGAGGAAUAAUACACUCGUGGGAUUUCUUGGCUCAAAAUUUGAAGGUGUGAUGAUUCAUGUAGUAAACGUUUAAACGCAUAAUAACGACAGCGUGUUUUUUCUGUAACCUUAAUCAUUGUUCAAAUUUCAAGCAAUGAGAACAAUUGCUUAGAUGGUCAUUGAACAGGCCAGUAUAAUACUGUGAGCGGACUUUUGAAGUUAAAGGACUACAUAGUUUUAAUCAACAUCAGUAUAAUUCAAGAUCAUGAGAGUAGGUGUGAAUUCUCAGAAAACGAUGAAAUGCUACUAUACUCCUCUAUACAUUACUGAAUAGGCUUCUUUUUUCGUCAGUGAUAGCAGUCUCACGCCACAUCUAAUAGGUUAUAGAAACAAAUAGCCUUGGUGAGUAUAGCCAAGCAAAAGUCUCGUUAUUACACACUUUUGUGUCUAAAUACUGUCACCUUUUGACAUGAAUACUUCUUCUUACAUAAUUAUACACAAGAGAGUCAUUUGGCUCCCUUUCUGCGAUGACAUGGGCUUCAAAACUGAACCUCCAGGAUAAACGAUGAGUUGAUUUCUCCUGUCAUUCCUGAGUACAGGUCCUUGAACUGGCACAAUAACAACAUUGGAUACUUACCGGAUGUGACGUGUAUCAAAAGGAGGACAGUGACUACUCGAAAGGUGGAGUAAAAUGUUGAGGAAAAGGAUCAGAAUUCUGCUGAUGGCUUAAGAAGUUCCACUUUUGCAGAUUCUAGGCUACUAUAAACUGUAGCAAGUUCCAGUUCCACGGAGCCUGCCGACCGCCGGGCUGGAGUGUGUGGGGCUCGCCAUUCGCCAUCACGCCCAGAUGCGGACGGGGGAUGAGAAGCCUCAUCUCAGGGCAGCCAGUCAGUAUUAUGUCGUUAUGUUGAGUCAUUUUUUCACACUCCCCUUUUUUUCUUAUUUGUACAAUU